rnacentral:rRNA from 1 species
UACGUAGGUGGCAAGCGAUACUCGGAAUCACUAGGCGUAAAGCGCAGGUAGGCGGUUUGGUAAGUCUUUUGUGAAAGCUCCCGGCUUAACUGGGAGAGGUCAAGGGAAACUACCGGACUAGAGUGUGGUAGGGGAUACUGGAAUUCCUGGUGUAGCGGUGAAAUGCGCAGAUAUCAGGAAGAACACCCGUGGCGAAGGCGGCUCUCUGGGACGGUACUGACGCUGAGACGCGAAAGCGUGGGGAGCGAACAGG